AUGGUGGCGGCGGGGCCUCGGUUGCCCUGCUUCCGUGUGGGGGACCCCGGAUCUGGAGCAGCGGCUCCAUUGGCAAGGCACGGCCGGCUAGCAGCUGUGCGGGCGGUGGAUCUGGCGUCUCGGUCGCACGGGCGGCGGGAUCCGGUGGUCGUUGGCGGCCGGCGGCGGCUUCUGCGGCGGUCGGUAUGCGCGAUCUGGCGCCUCCCUUCCUCCCCUGUUCGGCGUGCGGGCCAGCCUGGUCGGGCCGCGCUUCGUCUUGGUCGCCGGUUCUGUACAGGUGGCACUGCUGGUGGCGGGGAUUUAGUUCGGGUGAAAUCCCUGACCGGCCGCGCCGACGGCAACGCCUGA
rnacentral:rRNA from 1 species